rnacentral:tRNA from 1 species
CGAUUUGCUGAGCGCAGUGGUAGCGCGUCCGCUUUGCAAGCGGAAGGCCCCGGGUUCAAUCCCCGGUGUGUCCA